rnacentral:rRNA from 1 species
UACGGGGGGAGCAAGCGUUGUUCGGAUUUACUGGGCGUAAAGGGCGCGUAGGCGGCCUGUGCAAGUCAGUUGUGAAAUCUCCGGGCUUAACUCGGAAAGGUCAACUGAUACUGCGGGGCUAGAGUGCGGAAGGGGCAACUGGAAUUCUUGGUGUAGCGGUGAAAUGCGUAGAUAUCAAGAGGAACACCUGCGGCGAAGGCGGGUUGCUGGGCCGACACUGACGCUGAGGCGCGAAAGCUAGGGGAGCGAACGGG